ACAAAUACAUUUAAUUUUGCUUCUGUUCUAUCAGAAAACCGGAAGGAGUUAACCCAAGUGCUGUCAUCAUCAUAAAUACAGCUUGAAGAGGGAGGGAGCUAAGUCACUAAUCCGUUCUGAAUUCAGCCUGGCAGUGAAGAAAAAAAAGAGCAUGUGACCAAGAAGAAAACCACCGUGUAUAUCAAAACACACACGGAGGAAAUUAGGUUGAGAAUGAGAGAUGCUGAACAUAAAGAGAAUAAAGCAAGAGAAUAGAACUGGAGAUAAUAAAAAUAAACAGCAACAGCCAGAUUCAGAUGCUCUUUUCCUCAUUGGAGAUGACUUAACUGACACAGGCUGCCUCACUGGAAAGUCUAGUGGACUCACCAUGCUCCUCACAAUGCUGUCCCAGCAGCAGGCAGACACCAGACAAGGAAUUUUUAUAGCAUCAUGGACUUUCUUCUGGCAAAUGAGCACCUCACAAGUACUAAGUAAGUAAGCUUUGCAGUGAUGAAAAGAGAGCUGAGUGUUAUGGUCUGCAUGCUAUGGGAGAGGAUGUAAACACAGAGCCACCAGUUUUGUGUGCCUUAAUAAUCUUUUGUAUAAUAUGGAACACAAUUAGAUUUUUCUGAUGUACCAACCACUGGCAGCUCUCAGAGCUGAGACAAGUCGGGACUACUGACAGGCCA
rnacentral:lncRNA from 1 species